rnacentral:rRNA from 1 species
AGAGUUUGAUCCUGGCUCAGAACGUACGCUGGCGGCACGCCUAACACAUGCAAGUCGAACGAAGUAGCAAUACUUAGUGGCAGACGGGUGAGUAACAUGUAGGUAUCUGCCCUUUGGCCUGGAAUAACACGAGGAAACUUGUGCUAAUACCGGAUAAGUCUUUACGGAGAAAGCUUUAUGCACCAUUGGAUGAGCCUGCACUUGAUUAGUUUGUUGGUGGGGUAAUGGCCUACCAAGACUGUGAUCAAUAGCUGAUUUGAGAGGAUGAUCAGCCACAUUGGGACUGAGACACGGCCCAAACUCCUACGGGAGGCAGCAGUGGGGAAUCUUGCACAAUGGAGGAAACUCUGAUGCAGCGAUGCCGCGUGAGUGAAGAAGGCCCUUGGGUUGUAAAGCUCUUUCGUCGGGGAAGAAAAUGACUGUACCCGAAUAAGAAGGUCCGGCUAACUUCGUGCCAGCCGCCGCGGUAAUAC